GAACUGCGAUAAGUAAUGUGAAUUGCAGAAUUCAGUGAACCAUCGAAUCUUUGAACGCACAUUGCGCCCGCCAGCAUUCUGGCGGGCAUGCCUGUCCGAGCGUCAUUU
rnacentral:rRNA from 1 species